GAUGAAGAACGUAGCGAAAUGCGAUAAGUAAUGCGAAUUGCAGAAUUCCGUGAAUCAUCGAAUCUUUGAACGCACAUUGCACCUCUCGGUAUUCCGGGAGGUAUGCCUGUUCGAGCGUCAUUUGUACCCUCAAGCUCUGCUUGGUGUUGGGUGUUUGUUCCGCCUCUGUGUGUGAACUCGCCUCAAAACAAUUGGCAGCCGGCGUACUUGUUUCGGAGCGCAGCACAUUUUGCGAUCCAGAUCAACGUACAGCGGCAUCCAAGAAGCCUUAUUUAACGCUCUUGACCUCGGAUCAGGUAGGGAUACCCGCUGAACUUAAGCAUAUCAAUAAGCGGAGGA
rnacentral:misc_RNA from 1 species